UUUGGCACAUGAGUAUGUACACCUGAACUAUGCAAAUCUUUGUGAUCAGAUCUAUCGUGACAAUUUUUUACAUAUCACAAGUGAAAAAAAAUUUCGGCAUCAUAGCAUGCAUAAUAUUUAAAUACACAACAUACAAUGGGAACAGACCGAUGUAUGCAAAAGUUAAACAGUUUUUGGGACACAAAACACAGGUACUCCUAACGCACAUAAUCAAAGGUGAAAUUGUUUAUUACGCUCGUUGAACAGCCAUUGAAUCCACUCAAAUUUCUCAUCUGCGUCUUUCAUGACGGCGAACAUGUCCGCUUCUCGCUAGAACUACACAUGUAAAAAAGUAGAGCGGUGUCCGCCGCUGAAGAUGUCAUGUUGCCAACAACUCUUUGACAUAGGCAGUGCCAAUGUUCUCAUUUGAGGUCAUCAUGGUUUUAAUGUUUGCCGCCACUUCCUCCACGGCACUAGUGGCCCGAUCAACAGAGAAAGACAGCUCUCUCGUAGAUAUUUUUUUCUUCUUCCCCAGUCGCUUGCCACUGGAGGACUUCCUUUUUGCGCCGCUUGUGGUGCUAGAGACAUUCACGUUGGAGCUGAUGGGAAUUUUCUCUGCAUCAUCACUUGAACCACUACUCUCAUCGUCGAUUGGGAUUGCAUUACGGUGGUCUUCCAGCACGCUAUCCUCGAAUAGCUAGAACCCCGUUCGACACAACUUUGUCAAAGUGACUGCGUACUUCGCCCACCGUAACUGUCCCCGAAUAGUUGACGAUAGUGAAUGUAGAUUUCAUUCACGUCCUUGUCCUUGUAGUCUUUAUUUUCCUAUGACCAAGGGUUAAAAAUGAAGACAUGUAAAUGAAAAAUCGGAAUGUGCAAGAAAAAAUAAUCGCAACAGUCAAGCAAUAUUGCUCAUAAGCACAAGAAAAUAGUACAUCGUUAGUUAUUUCCACAAUGCGAUUUCGUAGAUGUCGACAUGCGUUAAUGAAAAACAGUAAAGGAAAAUAGAUAUUAACAGCACUAUCUCAAUCUUUCGUUUCCACCACUCCUCCGAUGCAACGACUCGAUCGAUGGAUUCGUUGUACGCAACCCCGCUGGAAUUUAACAACUCGGAGAGAUGUCUGUAGGUUCGACGCAUGUGUCCUAGUGGUUGCAUAGUUGCUGCUUGUUCCAGUUGUGGCCAGUGAUUGAGUUGAACAGUGACGAGAUUCAUUCUCAGCCGUGUUUCAUAAAACAACGAUCGUUGCGAUGGCGCUCAGCAAUGGCGGUUUCACACGCCGCCAUGCAUGUUUAGGUCUCUGAUACAUUCCACUGAGGAUAAGAUUUUGACCUCGAGGCUCGACCUAGCUCCUGUGUAGCAAACGAGUUAGGCAGUGGAUUAUGUCCUAACGGCAAAGGUAAGUGGGGCAUGAACAAUGAGAAAACACUGGUAUAGACAUUAUAACAACAAGUAGGGAAUUUAGUUCUCUAGCUCAUGGGAAAUGAGCAGGCAAGUUCCAUUCAUAUUAACCUCAAUCUCGCAAUCACUAGUAGAGUGCCACAAUUUACGUUAUUUUCAAUGUAGUGGGCAACUAAAACCAAGUGUUUGCAGUUAGAUGCAACGCAAUCAGAAGACACUAAUAUGUCAUAGCAAAUCAAUAAUAUCUUGUAAUACAGGGGCAUAGUUCUAUUGAUCAACAUGUCGUUGCAUUCACAUAAUUUUGAAGCCUCAUUUUACUGCGAUAAUAUUUUUACUACUUCAUGAAAAAACCAUAUAUUUUGUCCACAUAAUACUGGUAUGAGCGCCUGUGUCUCACUCAAAUUUUAUAGGAGCUUGC
rnacentral:lncRNA from 1 species